AUUGCCUACGGGAGGCAGCAGUGGGGAAUAUUGCACAAUGGGCGAAAGCCUGAUGCAGCAACGCCGCGUGAAGGAAGACGGUUUUCGGAUUGUAAACUUCUAUCAAUAGGGAAGAAAGAAAUGACGGUACCUAAAUAAGAAGCCCCGGCUAACUACGUGCCAGCAGCCGCGGUAAUACGUAGGGGGCUAGCGUUAUCCGGAAUUACUGGGUGUAAAGGGAGAGUAGGUGGCAAGGUAAGCGAUAUGUGAAAGGCUUAAGCUUAACUUA
rnacentral:rRNA from 1 species